GACGAACGCUGGCGGCGUGCCUAAUACAUGCAAGUAGAACGCUGAAGGAGGAGCUUGCUUCUCUGGAUGAGUUGCGAACGGGUGAGUAACGCGUAGGUAACCUGCCUGGUAGCGGGGGAUAACUAUUGGAAACGAUAGCUAAUACCGCAUAAUAUUGACUAUUGCAUGAUAGUCAGUUGAAAGGUGCAACUGCACCACUACCAGAUGGACCUGCGUUGUAUUAGCUAGUUGGUGGGGUAACGGCUCACCAAGGCGACGAUACAUAGCCGACCUGAGAGGGUGAUCGGCCACACUGGGACUGAGACACGGCCCAGACUCCUACGGGAGGCAGCAGUAGGGAAUCUUCGGCAAUGGACGGAAGUCUGACCGAGCAACGCCGCGUGAGUGAAGAAGGUUUUCGGAUCGUAAAGCUCUGUUGUAAGAGAAGAACGAGUGUGAGAGUGGAAAGCUCACACUGAGACGGUAGCUUACCAGAAAGGGACGGCUAACUACGUG
rnacentral:rRNA from 1 species